rnacentral:rRNA from 1 species
UCCGCCCGCUGGCGGCGUGCUUAACACAUGCAAGUCGAACGGAAAGGCCCUGCUUUUGUGGGGUGCUCGAGUGGCGAACGGGUGAGUAACACGUGAGUAACCUGCCCUUGACUUUGGGAUAACUUCAGGAAACUGGGGCUAAUACCGGAUAGUAGCUCCUGCUGAAUGGUGGUGGUUGGAAAGUUUCGGCGGUUGGGGAUGGACUCGCGGCUUAUCUGCUUGUUGGUGGGGUAGUGGCUUACCAAGGCUUUGACGGGUAGCCGGCCUGAGCGGGUGACCGGCCACAUUGGGACUGAGAUACGGCCCAGACUCCUACGGGAGGCAGCAGUGGGGAAUAUUGCAAAAUGGGCGGAAGCCUGAUGCAGCAACGCCGGGUGCGGGAUGACGGCCUUCGGGUUGUAAACCGAUUUCGCCUGUGACGAAGCGUGAGUGACGGUAAUGGGUAAAGAAGCACCGGCUAACUACGUG